rnacentral:rRNA from 1 species
UACAGAGGUGGCAAGCGUUGUUCGGAAUUAUUGGGCGUAAAGCGGGUGUAGGUGGCUCUAUAAGUCAGGAGUGAAAUCCCCGAGCUUAACUUGGGAAGUGCUUUUGAUACUGCAGAGCUUGAAUGUGGGAGAGGAUCGUGGAAUUCCAGGUGUAGUGGUGAAAUACGUAGAUAUCUGGAGGAACACCGGUGGCGAAGGCGGCGAUCUGGCCCAACAUUGACACUGAGACCCGAAAGCAUGGGGAUCAAACAGG